rnacentral:rRNA from 1 species
GAUGAACGCUGGCGGCGUGCCCAAUACAUGCAAGUCGAGCGAACAGACGAGGAGCUUGCUCCUCUGACGUUAGCGGCGGACGGGUGAGUAACACGUGGAUAACCUACCUAUAAGACUGGGAUAACUUCGGGAAACCGGAGCUAAUACCGGAUAAUAUAUUGAACCGCAUGGUUCAAUAGUGAAAGACGGUUUUGCUGUCACUUAUAGAUGGAUCCGCGCCGCAUUAGCUAGUUGGUAAGGUAACGGCUUACCAAGGCAACGAUGCGUAGCCGACCUGAGAGGGUGGUCGGCCACACGGGAACUGAGACACGGUCCAGACUCCUACGGGAGGCAGCAGUAGGGAAUCUUCCGCAAUGGGCGAAAGCCUGACGGAGCAACGCCGCGUGAGUGAUGAAGGUCUUCGGAUCGUAAAACUCUGUUAUUAGGGAAGAACAAAUGUGUAAGUAACUAUGCACGUCUUGACGGUACCUAAUCAGAAAGCCACGGCUAACUACGUG